UACAGAGGGUGCGAGCGUUGUUCGGAAUUAUUGGGCGUAAAGGGCGCGUAGGCGGCGCCACAAGUCACCUGUGAAAACUCUGGGCUCAACCCAGAGCCUGCAGGCGAAACUGUGGUGCUGGAGUAUGGGAGAGGUGCGUGGAAUUCCCGGUGUAGCGGUGAAAUGCGUAGAUAUCGGGAGGAGCACCUGUGGCGAAAGCGGCGCACUGGACCAUUACUGACGCUGAGGCGCGAAAGCUAGGGGAGCAAACAGG
rnacentral:rRNA from 1 species